UCAAAGUCCGAUACACAGUCUCUUCGCGGAAGGACUGGUUUAUCCUAGGUUUGGCCAAAGCCGUCAGGCGAUCCCCGAAAUACAUUUCAAUUUCGCCCUUUGCCUGAAGUAUUUUUAGUCAAACCCAGGAGCUCCUAACUUUUCAGUCAAACGUCGAAAGUAAAUUAUUCUGUUUCGGUUUUGGCCUAGUCAAUCCUAGAAGCGACUGCAAAACUCGGUCAAACGUUGAUCUGAACAUGUUUAAACAGGUUCAUAAUGUCUCUCGCGGUGUUCCGACCGAUUGUUUUGUCAUUUCAUGUUCGUUCAUUGAGCGUGCGGGCGUGUAAUUGUGUAAAAUUGAAGAUGAGUGAAUCAAACGGUGUUGUUGCCUUACCUCUUCC